CCAAUGAUUUUUUAAUGGCUGCGGUAAUUUGACUGUACAAAGGUAGCAUAAUAAUUAGUCUUUUAAUUGAAGUCUGGAAUGAAUGAUUGGAUGAGAAAUUAACUUUCUUUAUUUAUUUUUAUUUUAAUUUGAUUUUUAAGUGAAAAAGCUUAAAUUUUUUUUUGGGACGAUAAGACCCUGUAGAUCUUUAUUUUUAAAUUGUUUAUUAAUUUUUGGUUUUUAUAAUUUGUUUUCUUUUAGUAAAAUUUGGUUGGGGUGACGAUAAAAUUUUUUUUACUUUUAUUUUUAUUUUCAUUUGUUUUUGAUUGUUUUGAUCUUUUUGUAUUGAUUGAAAGAUAAAGUUACCUUAGGGAUAACAGCGUAAUUUUUUUGUAGAGUUCUUAUCGAUAAUAAAGUUUGCGACCUCGAUGUUGGAUUAAGAUUAGGGGAUGGUGAAGAUUUUUUUUAUUCUAGGUCUGUUCGACCUUUAAAUUCUUACA
rnacentral:rRNA from 1 species